UGAGGAAUAUUGGUCAAUGGGGGCAACCCUGAACCAGCCAAGUCGCGUGAAGGCUGAAGGUCUUAUGGAUUGUAAACUUCUUUUACACGGGAAUAAAGUGGGGGACGUGUCCCCCUUUGCAUGUACCGUGUGAAUAAGGAUCGGCUAACUCCGUGCCAGCAGCCGCGGUAAUACGGAGGAUCCGAGCGUUAUCCGGAUUUAUUGGGUUUAAAGGGUGCGCAGGCGGGAUGUUAAGUCGGCGGUGAAAUUUUGCAGCUCAACUGUAAAAGGGCCUUCGAUACUGGCCUCCUUGAGUGUGGAUGAAGUAGGCGGAAUUUGUGGUGUAGCGGUGAAAUGCUUAGAUAUCACGAGGAACUCCGAUUGCGCAGGCAGCUUACUAAGCCACAACUGACGCUCAUGCACGAAGGCGUGGGGAUCAAACA
rnacentral:rRNA from 1 species